GAUGAACGCUAGCUACAGGCUUAACACAUGCAAGUCGAGGGGCAGCAUGAACUUAGCUUGCUAAGUUCGAUGGCGACCGGCGCACGGGUGAGUAACACGUAUCCAACCUGCCUUCAACUCAGGGAUAGCCUUUCGAAAGAAAGAUUAAUACUUGAUGGCAUAACCUGGUCUCCUGACUUGGUUAUUAAAGAAUUUCGGUUGAAGAUGGGGAUGCGUUCCAUUAGGCAGUUGGCGGGGUAACGGCCCACCAAACCUACGAUGGAUAGGGGUUCUGAGAGGAAGGUCCCCCACAUUGGAACUGAGACACGGUCCAA
rnacentral:rRNA from 1 species